CAAUAGUGUAUAUUAAUGUUCCUGCAGUUAUUCGAUGCUCGUAGUUGGAUUUCUGGAGGCUGAGACAGGAGGGCAGCUAAGGUUGUCGCCAGUCUCUUCCUUCAUCCACCUGUUAACGUUGUCCGGGAUUUAUUUUUCGGCUUCGGGCUCAGGUAUUUUACCCUUUCUAUAUAUUCAUUUAUUUAUCUUCUUUUUGAGCAAAUUAUAGUGUUUCAGGCAGGCGUGCGCCGGAAUACUUUAGCAUGGAAUAAUCGAACUGGACCGUGUAUUCUCUAUGAGAAUUCUUCCUUAUUUGUUGGUUUCAAGGACACGGAAAUGGUUAAUAGGGAUAGUACUUUUC
rnacentral:rRNA from 1 species